UCGGCCGACGGUCAGACUGAGAAAAGAUCGAGAACAUCCGAAAACCAAAUCUGGAGGAAAAUACAUGGACCCAUUAUGAAUUAAUCAACGAUAAUCUGGUCAAAGAGAUACAACAACGAGCUGUGGGAUAUGAUGGAAUUAUGUCAUGGGCCGAAGUAUUCAGUUGUAUACAGGGUAAACACGCUCAGUGAAUCAUUCUGUAUAUUUGAGAUAGAUCUAUUCUUAGGGGUUUCCCAGCCCUUCGUAUUCCAGUAAUCGAUUGGUAUCUUAAAUAUGGCUAUCGGCCAAACGUGCGUUAUAAUAAUACGUAUA